GCCCACGUAGCUCAGUGGUAGAGCACUUCCUUGGUAAGGAAGAGGCCAUGGGUUCAAUCCCCAUCGUGGGCUCCA
rnacentral:tRNA from 1 species